UGGGGAAUAUUGCACAAUGGGGGAAACCCUGAUGCAGCGACGCCGCGUGGGGGAUGAAGGUCUUCGGAUCGUAAACCUCUGUCAGCAGGGAAGAAAUUUUAGUGUGCUAAUCAGCAUUAAAUUGACGGUACCUGACUAAGAAGCACCGGCUAAAUACGUGCCAGCAGCCGCGGUAAUACGUAUGGUGCAAGCGUUAUCCGGAUUUACUGGGUGUAAAGGGAGCGCAGGCGGUGCGGCAAGUCUGAUGUGAAAGCCCGGGGCUCAACCCCGGGUACUGCAUUGGAAACUGUCGUACUAGAGUGUCGGAGGGGUAAGUGGAAUUCCUAGUGUAGCGGUGAAAUGCGUAGAUAUUAGGAGGAACACCAGUGGCGAAGGCGGCUUACUGGACGAUUACUGACGCUGAGGCUCGAAAGCGUGGGGAGCAAACAGGAUUAGAUACCC
rnacentral:rRNA from 1 species